UGCAUCUGAAAAAGAAAAAUUCCAGGGGUGGGUUAAGGAAACUGUUCUGUUUAUGGGCGAAAUAAUGUCAGAACGAAAAGUAAAUCCAAAUAAAUCCACAUAGAGAAGCAUAAAUUUCCACCGUGGUUUGAGACCUCAGGCUGGAUACAAACUAAAACCAUACCCUUAGGAGAAAAUUGUGAAGAAAGAAGGCCUCUGCUUUCUUCCCAUUCCCUUGUCUGCCCAGGCCCCCAGGUCCUCAGAGGCUGAGGGACUGCUAAUUGGGGUAUUUGGCCCGGGAAAUACCUCUGAAGUUCUCUCUCCCUGUUUUACUUUAGUCUUGAAUACCACUUCCUUCCUGUUUUCCCUACACAGAGCAGAAGGUCUAAUCAAUAAAUCUGCACUAAGGUGUAAUUGACUGAUACUGGUUCAAAGUAACAUUGGGAGCAGAAACACAAGUUCACAAGACGGGUUGCUGCUCAUCGUUGUUUGCCUGGCUUUAUAUCUUUAUCAAGCCCUGAUCUCACACAUUCUCUCUUACUCUGAUUUUCUUACAGGGUUCAAUACCCAUGUGCUGCAGUUGCUUGGGUUCCUGAACUCAGUCCAUCCCUAAUCUGCUUUUGUUCUGCAUAUCAGCUUCUUAGUAACUCCUUUGUAUCCACCUUGACCUUGGCCCAGAUUUAGAGGGCUUCUAUCCAGCAUUACAGUCUCCUCCAAGAGCAUUUGUAUUUGAAAGGGGUCAGUGGCUAAACUAUAGGAAUUGCCCUUGAAUGUUGGAGAUUCAGUGAAGGACUCUAAUGCCUGAGAAGAUUCAGGUUCCUGUAGGGAAGAGGAUGGCUAAGCCCAGCUCAGACCCAGAAUGGGCAAAGGAGGAAUGAGAACUAAAGCAGUCCUCAUGAAGGAUCCUGCCAUCCUCCCACCAGUGAACGCUGACUGCACAACCAUCGGCAUUGCCCAAAUAACACUGAUCCCAUGAGGCUGAUGACACUUCUUGGCUCAGAGAACAAAGCAAACCAUUUCAGCUACAGAAUGAAACAUUCAUUUAAAAAUAUUCCAUUUUUUAAUUUUUACUUUUAUCAAUAUUUUUAUUCAAAAAAAUACUGCAUCUUACUGGAGACCAGAGGCAUUUUCUCCUGGGAAAUAAUCAUCAGGACAAGCUCCAAGAAACUCAUGAGCCCUGAGUGGACACAGUGUGAAGCUACAGGUCAGUGGGGCCAAGCAAGGCCUCACACUGCAAACACUCAGUCUACUUGGUUACCAUGAAUAAAACUCACUUACCUUCUCCAGAAUA